UACGUAGGGAGCAAGCGUUGUCCGGAAUCAUUGGGCGUAAAGCGCGCGUAGGUGGCCAUGUAAGUCCGCUGUGAAAGUCAAAGGCUCAACCUUUGAAAGCCGGUGGAUACUGCAUGGCUAGAGUACGGAAGAGGCGAGUGGAAUUCCUGGUGUAGCGGUGGAAUGCGCAGAUAUCAGGAAGAACACCCGUGGCGAAGGCGGUUCUCUGGGACGGUACUGACGCUGAGACGCGAAAGCGUGGGGAGCGAACAGG
rnacentral:rRNA from 1 species